rnacentral:sRNA from 1 species
UGCGUUCUGUCUCGUGUGUUCUGUCUCAUGUGUUUUGUCUCAUGUGUUUUGUCUCAUGUGUUCUGUGUUGUAAGUCAAGGAGUUAUCACGUGACAAUCUGAGCCACGAAAUACCAUUGCUUGAAAUGAGUUUUUCUUGUUGUGGAUCAGAUGCUAGAGUUUGGGUGUGUAAAAAGAUUGCGCAAUUCAUUUCACUAAGUUAGACAACUGGGGUCGGUCAGAUAAAAAUGACGUCACGAAAUCAAUCAGCUGAUUGUGAUGGAUCAGUUUGGCUGCAGACGAGGCGGACUUGAUCAUCAGUUGGCUUGAUCAAUACGAGGGGCAGAAUCGUACUGGGAAAUUAGGUCAGGAGGGCUUUGCGAGUAACUUAUAGUGGAGGGCGGGGUGGGAAAAGGGUCAGAAGAGAUGACCCCAUAAAUGUCCGGAGUGUAGUCAGCUAGUUAGUACAGAUGUACCGAAAUGAGGUCAGCUAGCCAAAGAGACAAAUAAAAAAGAAGAUUUAGAUCUAGUAGCCAGCCGGACAACACACUGCAGGAAGUGGACACCUUGGAAUAUUGAAUACCAUUACUCUGACCCAAACCUAACAAGGGUUGCAGGACAUUAAAAAAGUUCGUGUCAGCUUGACCUCUUCCACAAGUCAUAGAGCGGGCAGUUUCGUAGACCAGAUAUUUGACUGGCUGAUUUAAAAAAAAACUGAAUGCGCUUGAUGGGAAGCCUAAAGCACGUGGUCUGAUAGGUCAAAACAACGGUCCUGGUGUAGAUGUGGUCCUGGUGUAGAUGUGGUCCUGGUAUAGAUGUGGUUUUGGUGUAGAUGUGGUCCUGGUGUAGAUGUGGUUCUGGUGUAGAUGUGGUCCUGGUGUAGAUGUGGUUCUGGUGUAGAUGUGGUUCUGGUUUAGAUGUGGUUCUGGUGUAGAUGUGGUCCUGGUGUAGAUGUGGUCCUGGUGUAGUGUGGUUCUGGUGUAGAUGUGGUCCUGGUGUAGAUGUGGUCCUGGUAUAGAUGUGGUCCUGGUGUAGAUGUGGUCCUGGUAUAGAUGUGGUUCGCUGUAUUGGAAACUGUUUUUAAUCAAGUUAGGGUUAGUUGUAAAAUUAAAAGAAUUUCAUUUUUAAUGACUGCAAUAAAAUCUCUUUGGUGUAAAAGUCUCCGGCUAAGUGUUUGAUAUUCUGUGCUAGCUCUCCAAAAAUGUAACAAAUUUACAAAUGACAAAAAUGUAACAACUUUACAAAUGACAUUGCUCUGUCACGUGUUACGCUCCGUUGGCUGGUUGAGUCUUCAUGCACGUAAUGGGAGGAACGGGCAGACGAGAUAUAUGUCAGGUCAAAGGUUCUCAUUAAUAAACCAGGUCAAAGGUUCUCAUUAAUAAACCAGGUCAAAGGUUCUCAUUAAUAAACCAGGUCAAAGGUUCUCAUUAAUAAACCAGGUCAAAGGUUCUCAUUAAUAAACCAGGUCAAAGGUUCUCAUUAAUAAACCAGGUCUCUAGAGUCGGCGUCUGAUGGAGUAAUGUUGAGCACUGUCAGAUAAACUACGUUUGUAACGGCGUGUUCGUUGAUAGGUCAGUGACUAGAAUGUGUCUCUGUGUGUGUUGUUAGGGGAAGCUGCAAGGACAGCUGGGUAAAGGUUGAUCUUAAUCCAGGCCAUGUUGAUCUUAUCAGACCUUCAAGGUCUCAAUACAAACCAAUCUCAAAGUCUCAUUUCAGGCCAUGUUGAUCUCAAUCAGACAUUGAAGGUCUCUAUUAACUCUCUAUUAUGGACAUGUUGAUUUCAAACUUUUCCCUGUUGAUAUAUAUCUUAGUAGCCAUGUUGGACGUAAUCCUAGCCUUGAAGAUCUCAGUUCUUUUCAUGUUGACCUCAAACCUGGUCAUGUUGACCUCAAACCUGGUCAUGUUGACCUCAAACCUGGUCAUGUUGAUCUUAAUAUUGACCUUGUUGGUCUCAAUCAGUGCCAUGUUCAUCUCAGUAGUGGCCAUGUAUAUGUCUGCCCCAAUCAUGUAGGAUUCAGCAUGUGUGACAUUUCUAUCAGCAGUGAUAUUGAAUUACUCUAAAAAAAAAACCAAAAAAAACUCACAUUGGUUUAGUCGUGCGUGACCUUUCCACUCAUCAAUACACAGUCCAUGGAGUCUGUGCAGACUAUUGACAGCAGAAACAAAUGAAGACAAGACAGCAGACUUGAUAAUGAAGUCCAGGUUCGGGUCUUAAGAGUUUGAGUCUACAGUCUAUCCAGAGUUCAAUUGAUUUACUUUAGAAGUGAUCCACUAAAGUACAUAUUACUGUCUCUCUUUCUCUCUCUCUCUCUCUCUCUCUCUCUUUCUCUCUCUCUCUCGCUCUCUCUUCCCGCCAUACAUCAGAAAAGCUCAAAAUGUUUUUUAAAGUUUUCACUAGGAUAUUUAAAAAAACAACAACAUAGAAUCAACAAAUUUUUAUUUGCAUAUCAACAUUCUUUGAACACCUUCCCUCUCCCACACAGUCAUACAGUGGGCCAGUGGCGUAAAUCACUCAGUGGUGUUGUUAGCCCUGUGGCGUCAUUCACUCAGUGGUGUUGUUAGCCCUGUGGCGUCAUUCACUCAGUGGUGUUGUUAGCCCUGUGGCGUCAUUCACUCAGUGGUGUUGUUAGCCCUGUGGUGUUGUUAACCCUGUGGUGUUGUUAACCCUUGAACAGUUGCUUUGGUCACCUCAUUCUAGAGUUAUAAUAUGUAUAAGCCAGAAACAAAGUUUAGAACGUACUGACAGACUAAAAGACAGACAGAAAACAUACUACUUAAAGCAAAAAGUGAAACGCUCGCUUUAUCUUGUCUAUUUAAAUGCUGCCAAAAUACAAGUCACGACCCACCUCCUCAAAGUGUAAAGAUGCGCCUAUGGUGUGGUUUACAAAGUUAAAGACGUCACUAACCUGCGAGGCGACGCCUGGUUGAGAUAUUGUUUUAGAGAUAACCCGUUUAAGGACCAUAAAUAUAUUUCUAAAUAACCACAGAGUCCCAAAUAGGUUACAGGUACCUAUGUCGAAAAUAGAAUUUGGUCUAAAAUUGAACAGUUAGUUAUUUGGUUAGGAGAUCGUGGGGUGGUCAGUACAAAACAUUGCGACAUAGAGUUUAAAAUGACCAAUGAAAGGAUCUUAAGGCAUUAAGAUUGAAGUUAUAUAAAACAAAAUUCGAUAAGCAUCUGGGUCAUUACUCUUGGUGGGGGCAACAAACUUGUAAAACCCUGUAGGGCGCCACUUUGACUUUUACUGCUUCCUGGCAGUGACAGAAUGGGACAUCAGUGCCAAUAUCUCACACCUCACCCCUUCACGCAGUUCCUAGCAUUUCAGAAGAGAACUCUUUUGCAUCUUAGUGUCGUCUGCCACACAAGAAGUGGCAGAAGUGGUAAAAAAAAAAAAAAGGUUAAGUCAUUCGAUGACCGAGGGUUGCUUUGACCCCCAAGGUCAAAGUGCAUCGGAUCUUUCCUAUUUUAUCUUGAUGUGACUAGUGUAGAAAUAUCUUGAAAGUAUCCCGCCCCCCUCCCUCUCCACACAUUAGCCAACCUUCCAACUAGAUAACUACACCACCUUCACUAGUAACAAGUAGACCCCGCCUAAACACACACACACGCACGCGGUAUGAUAAGUGAAGAAAUACAUACGCGUGAUCUUCUGCUCCUCGCAGACACUUAACACCACUUUGCAAAUCACUGCGCUGUAAACUUGCUACGGUCUAUAAAAAUCUAAGCGACGACAUAAACGCGGAGGGAUAUGUUUUUUUUUAUAAAUUAAAACUCAGGGUUUGGGUUUUCAACUGAACUAUUCAGUGAGACAACGGAAACUUAACUUCUACCUAGUCUUUUAUGUCUGAGAAUUGAAGAACCAAAUAGAAGUAAAUCGUCACAUCGCCUUCAAACCGUCACAUCGUCAUGAAACUGUCACAUUAAUACGUCACAUCGCUUUUAAACCGUCACAUCGACAUGAAACUGUCACAUUAAUACGUCACAUCGCCUUCAAACCGUCACAUCGCCUUCAAACCGUCACAUCGCUUUCAAGCAGUAAGACCAAGAACACUUAAUCAGCAUAACACGCUAUAUCAAACGCACCCAAUCACUCCUUCACCAUCAAAUCUCUCCGCCAUCAUCUCCUCUCACAGCGCCACUAAACUGCUUUGCCCCUUCAGCCACCCCUCUACAAAAAAAAUAAAAAUAACAUCAACACAUACACACACCGCCCCUAGGGUCCAGCGCUGGUCAAUAGCGGGCAUCCCGCCAAUCAAAUCACAGUAAUCAAGUGAGCCGUCAGUCACACGAGUCGCCCGGUCGAUCUGGAGAAAACUGACCACAUAACUGGAAGCAAUCAGCAAAUACGCCUUCAUUACGUCAUAUCUACGACCACCCGUCCCCUCCCUUACAUAUUUGACAGACUCCUGCGUCACCCCUCUGCUGCGUCACCCCUCUACUACUUAGAAGACUAAAUCCUCCAAUCCUGGGAGCUCAGAUGGAAUACAAAAAUAAUCUUACUUUGUCAAAGCGACAACGGAAAUAGAGUUCCCAUGCUGCUAAAGCACUGACCUACAUCUUCUGAUGAAAUCUCCUCUGUACUGUGUUAGCCCCAAAAUGCUCAUUUAUAUUUUGAUGAAAUGUUACUGUUAUUAUAUGGACCUAAAUAGAACUCACAUUUAUCGAUUCUACUCUUUAUAAGGAUUUGAGCUCGAGCUGUUUUAAUUAAAUACAUAGCUGCCAUGUACUCGAAUACAUUGAAAGAACAAGAAGUUUCUACUCAAUGGUAAAGUUGUUUGCUGGAUUUAAAAAGUCAGGAACAAAAGAAGAGCCAAGACAUAUCCCUUCACUCCCUAGUCAGUCAGACAUUCAAGACAUAUCCCUUCACUUCCUCGUCAGUCAGACAUUCAAGACAUAUCCCUUCACUUCCUCGUCAGUCAGACAGUCGCAUUAUUUGCUUCGCGACACAAAGUAGUUGGUAUAGCUCUAGAUAUGUUACAUUCAAAUUGAUUGGUGGGUGUAGGUCUAAUAUGUUACGUGUAAACUGAUUGGUGGGUGUAGGUCUAAUAUGUUACGUGUAAAGUGAUUGGUGGGUAUAGGUCUAUUUGUAAACUGAUUGGUGGGUAUAUGUCUAGAUAUGUUACUUGUAAAUUGAUUGGUAGAUAUCUAAAUCU